GGGCGCCCACCUCAAGGGCUCCGUCGUCCUCAUGCGCAAGAACGCGCUCGACUUCAACGACUUCGGCGCCACCGUCAUGGACGGCGUCACCGAGCUCCUCGGCCGCGGCGUCACCUGCCAGCUCAUCAGCUCCACCAACGUCGACCACAGUGAGCACUCACUCGCCACUCCCCGUUUUGUAAUCCCUGCCACUGUGAUACAUGGAAAACGGAAGCAGAUCCGCAUCCUCACGGCCGAACCAAGCAAAUAAUAUAUAUAAAGAACUAAAAUGCACGUAUGGUUACGGAUGCAUGCUUGAGCUUGAGCUUGAGAGACAGGGACGUGCAAAAAAUAACUUAAUAAUGGAGUAACUAAUGUGAGACAUGACGCACGGAGGAGUUUACCUUACUACUAAUUAAUUGUCGAGCAGACAACGGUGGGCGCGGGAAGGUGGGCGCGGAGGCGAACCUGGAGCAGUGGCUCCUGCCGACGAACCUGCCGUUCAUCACCACCGGCGAGAACAAGUUCGCCGUCACCUUCGACUGGUCGGUGGACAAGCUGGGGGUGCCGGGCGCCAUCAUCGUCAAGAACAACCACGCCUCCGAGUUCUUCCUCAAGACCAUCACCCUCGACAACGUGCCCGGCCGCGGCACCAUCGUCUUCGUCGCCAACUCAUGGGUCUACCCGCAGGCCAAGUACCGCCACAACCGCGUCUUCUUCGC
rnacentral:lncRNA from 1 species